GGACUACUGAGGAGUCCCACAAUAGGACGAAACGGCAGUCCAGUGA
rnacentral:hammerhead_ribozyme from 1 species